rnacentral:lncRNA from 1 species
UCGCUCUGAAUAGUAGCGGUCUCGUCGAGCAGGAUGGAGGCGUCGCAGCCCUGCACGAAGCAGUCGUGGAAGUGGAGGCGGAUGAGGGACGCCGCCAUGCGCCGCUCGGCGGAAAUAGCGCGGCGGAUGGAGUUGCGGAUGAUGGUUGGUGCAUUGGGGCAUCUGGCGUCAUAGAAAGUGGUUGAUAGUUGCGCUUGGCAACAGAUGGUGCUCAGCACCACCAUUAGAGAGAUUAAAGGAAUAGCAAAUCUGCUAAUCAUUUUGGAGAGAGAGAGAGAGAGAGAGGAUUAUAUAAGCAAUGCGAUGCUAAUAACACAGUAGUGAAGCUCGAUCGAUCUGUGCAGAAGAGUGUUGUGAAAUUAAUUGUUUGAUUGGAUUAAAGAUGAGAUGAGUGAGGAGAAGAAGGUGGGAUGAGUAUAUAUAGAAGUAGCGAGGUUGAGAAGUUGGUGAUGAGGUCUGUAUUGGCUGCUAUAAGCGCGUCUGGACCAAGUUAAUUAACAGGUGUGUUAGUACUUAGCUAAAAGAGGCAAUUCUGUAUCUUUGUUGGAUUCAAAUCGGUGAGUGUUUCAAUGUCAAAUAGUAGUAUUAUAGAUUGUGAAGUCGCAUGAUUUGGUCAACAAUGGGAUGUUCCGUGGUGUGGGUAACUUUUGUAGGAAGAUUCUCUAAUUAACGACGACAUGCAGAUGCAGACAGCUAAUAAUUUAGAAAGUCAAUUUACUUUAAAUAAGUAAAAGUGGAUGCCAAAACUCAAAAGCAUUCCACACAGUAUAGAAUGUAUGCAUGUCACAUUAUCUUCGUGGGGAUUAAAAUGAUGACGCCACCUUAUCCACGAAGGAGCAGGGAAACAGUGCGUGGCAUGUGAAAAAGGAAAAGAAAAAAACAAACCAACAAAACAUUGUUCCAAUAUUAAAAAACUUAUUACUAUAUAUGCUAAAAUGUAAAUGAAUUUGUAAAAUGACUUAGAACUUAAAUUUAAUUAAAUACUAGAUGCGGAAAUACAAAGUAAACUUUUCUUUCUUUCUUUUUUUUGAGAGAGAAAGUAAACCUUCUUCUUAAAACGCUAAAUGAGAACAUAUAAAUUGACACCUCCUAACUUAAAUCAUGAGGAAUAAAAUCCACAAUAAUUUAUGAUAAAUAAGUUCAAUGGAAACAAAUAUUAACUAAGUGUGGAAAUUCAAGUAAUUAAACAAACUUUUAAAUAAAUGUGGAAAUUCCAAGAUCUCAAAUUUUUUAAUAUUAUUCGGUAAUUGAGCUAAGUGUCACACACACACACACACAAAAUCUCCUGUACAUCCUAGUGUACCGUACACCUGGAUUGACUCGUACCCAAAUCGAUCUUGACUCGCAUGCUAAUCGAAACCCGCAUCCUAGCCCAAAUGUAAAUGACACUAUUCAAUUAUACAAAUAACAAUGUUUAUAAUUGACACUAUUCAAUUAUGUAAAUGACAUUGUAACAUUUUAAAAUGUUAUAGUGUCAUUUUCAAUUUUAUAAUGUUAUUUACAAUCUUAUAGUAUCAAUUACAGGAAGUAUCAUUUAUAUUUUUGAAUAGUGUCAAUUAUACACAAUGUCAUUUACAAUAUUAUAUAUAGUGUCAUUUAUAUACAAUGUCAUUUGUAUAACAAAAUAGUGUAAAUUACAGGCAGUGUCAUUUGUAUAACCAAAUAGUGUCAUUUACACGAUUUGAGUCAGGAUACGAAUUUGGAUCAUGAUUUGGAUACGAGUCAAUCUAAGUACGGUACACUCGGAUGUACCCAAGACCACCUAUAUAUAUGUGUGUAUCCGCAUAUACUAAAAUUUAUUUGUCUUAUAUAGUGUUUUUUUAGGGAGAAUUUGUCUUAGUUGAACAAAUUGAAAUUCAACUAUUAAUAUAUAUCCUGUCUCAAGCUGUAACCCAAGACUUCUUUUCCCUGCGUGACGUUACAUGCUACACUAAUACGUCAAAGGAAUGGCUAGUUUAUUUUAAUUUAUUUUUGAGUCAGUUAUGAUCUUCACUAUGUAUGUCGAUCCUUAGAAAAUAGUUGUGAUUUCUCAAUUAUUAAGUACUAGGCAUGUUGAAAGUCAAAAUAUAUUGCAACAAAUUUAUUAAAAUAAUAUAUUCACUUGAUUAAAUAAAGUGAACUAGGACUAAUAUCAUGGGAGAAAUGCAUAUAUAUAUAUUGAUUAAAUAAAUUGAUAUAUAUUAACAAUAAUAUCAUCUUCAAGUAAGAGAGCAUUGGCUUAAUAUUCCUAUAUUUUUAAUAAUAAUAAAUUACAAUCCAUCCCCUAUUUGGCAAACUAUUACUCUCUUCGUUUAAUUACAAAUGUCUCAUUACUUUUGGGCACAGUGAUUUAAAAAGUGUGUAAUUAGUAGAUAAUGUAUAUUGGUGGAGAGAGAGAAGUAAAUUAAAAUUUGUAAAAAUAGGUAUAACUAGAGAGAGAGUAGGAUGGGUGGGCAGUAUAUUAGUUAAUUACUUAGUCCCUUGAUUAUUUGUCAAAAAAAAUGACAUAUUUGUAAUUAGACAUUUCAUUAUAGAAAUUGGGACAUUUGUAAUGGAACGGAUGAUAUGAAAUUCUAUGAUAUAUAUAUUGAAACCUUUUAGUAAUAUUAAAGAAAACCUGGAACGCGGUUGGGGCUUCCUUAGCAAUGCAAGUUGUCUCUAGAAUCACUAUUCAUCAUAACAUAUGUACCUUGAUAAUGUCAUUUUAUAUGUGGGAUGAUCUCUAUAGAAGAUGUUAUAUAUGCAUACAUGUCUGUGUUUAUAUAUGAGAUGCAUCUAGUGAAAUAAAUUAUGGUGGAUAUCGUCUAUUUAAACCUAAUUAUAUAUCCAGUACUCCACAAUAUCAAUUAAGACACCCAACUAUUGAACUUUGUAAGAAAAAUGCUAGAAACUAUUAAUAAUAUCAAGUAAAUGCUCAAACUAUUAAAGUUAUUAUACUAACAGAAAGAAUAAUGAUUUUUGUGGAUAGAACGUUUACAUGUAUUUUCAAUAGUUUAUACUACUAGAAAAUGCGCAUAUUAUGAUCGAAAAUAACGGUUGUUACAGUAUUAACGACCGUUGGGUGAUUGUUUGAAAUUUUUUAAUUUUUAAUUUAUUUUUUUAUUUUAGCGAUUGAAAUAUCGAUAUAUCGAUAGUUAACAAUCGAUUUAAUUUAUUAUUAAUAUUAACUUAUUAUAAUAAAUAACGAGACUUAACAAAAUCAUAUCAUUAUGCACCUGAAUUAAAAGGAAUGAUGUAAUUCCAUAAUUUUACAAACCUUGUUGCUUAUUAAUUUCUUUUUAUUUUACAAGCUAUGUUGCCGAUUUUGUUUGAGAAGAUUGAUUAGAUUUUGUGAUUGUAUAAAUUUUUGAGUACAAUAUAUGAAAAUUUAGUCACGUGUUGUGUAAUAAGUUAAAUUUUCCCUUAUCAUCCUUUUGGCGCCUCACAUCUCUGUCUCUCUUAAGCGAUUUUCGUUGGCGAACUGCCGAUCGAGGGUCGUUGUUGCUGGUCCUUAAUUGGCCGCGUUCAGCGGUCGCCGCCGCCCUUCACCCCUGCUCCACAGCCACGCGAUGAACGAGGCUUCGAUUUGGAUGAUUUGAAGUUAAGGAUGAGCUUCGUAUGAGAAUGGAAAUAAGAAGCAGCUUAAGCUGCUGCCUUCAACCAAUCUGCUGGAGCUUAUGGAGUAGAGGUUAUUAUAUGUGAUAUGGGUAGAGCAAUCAUUAUAUUGUUGUCGAAGCAAAGCAAACCUCCUCGCUGGUGAACAUGAUGAUUGUGGAAGUGACGACCAUUGUUUGUAUUAAGAACAACAUAUUGCACUAUAGUGGAGAUCUAUUUUGACUCCUUUCUGACCGCAACAGUUAAGCUACUUUUCAUAUGAACCUUGUCUGAUUUCGUUACUCUCCACAUCCUCAGCUUCAGCUGCAGCUGCUGCCUUCGUCUUGCGCUGCCUCCGUUAAUUGCUUUGCUUCAGAUCCAAUUUCUCAUGCGAAAGUGCAUAGAUACAAUUUUAAUUUCAUCGGAGGCAUUGGAAAUUCAAAAUUAAGCUCGAUUUUUUUUUAAAUACAAAAAAUACAAGUGAUGGAGAAAUUUAUGUGGAUUUAAUUAAUCAAAUAGGUGAGGUUGCGUGCUGUCAAUUGUUAUGGAUGUGAGUUUGUGUUGUUAAUUUUCUUCAAUUCAAUGAAUUCACAAUUGAAUCACUAAUGUUGAUUUUGAAUUCGAAUUUUAAAGCUCGAAUUCACUUCUUGCAAUAGUGUUAGUCAUAAAUUCGAGUCUUAAACCUUGAACUCACGAAUUAAACUACAAAAAAACAGGCAAUUACCGGCGGCGUUUGCCGUCGGUAAUUUGGAGGCGGCCGCCGGAAAAAGGACUACCGGCGGCUAGACGCCGCCGGAGGGUUCCUCGUUGGUAACUCGAUUACCAGCGGCAAACACACGCCACCGGCAGUCGCCGCCGUUAACAGUCGUCGUUGAACAGCGGAGAGCUGCCGGAGAAUUACCGGCAGCAUUCGGCCGCUGCUAAUUACCGACGGCGCUUCCGCCGCCGGUAAUGUUGAUCGGACGGCGGCGGCGCCUCUCGCCGGAAGCGCGGAGUAUUACCAGCGGCCGGUGUUAGCGGCGGCCUAUUGCUGCCGGUAUUUUUUUUUAAUUUAUUUAUUUAUUUUAUUUUAUUUAUUUAUUUCCAUAAUUUAUUUUCGUAUUUAUAUAGUAUUGCAUAAGUUGUCCCUUCUCAGUCGGUCAUCCAUCUUAGUUGUGCUAUAAGUCAAGCACGCUUAACCUUGAAGUUCCUUUCGAAUGGUCAUCAGUACAGAACACUCGUAUUAUUGAUAUAUCCAGUACCUAUUAAUUCAUUUAAAGUCUACUUUAAUAUACAAUAUCAUAUAUUCAUAACCUUAUAAUAUGCCGAGAUGAUAUCCAAGUGAUGUUGUUAAUUACGAAUCGGUGCAUCUUGGUUCCGUCCUUAUUUUUAUGUCGAAAAAAUAUUUAUUUAUUAAUUUAUUAUUAAUAUAUACAUAUAUAUAUAUAUAUAUUUCCAAUAUAUAUUAUCAAUCUAGUUUAUACACCAUAAGUAUUUUAAUUUGGUAAUUGUAAUGUAUUUUGAAUUUAUUUCCAUACGUCCUUAUUUUUAUGUCGAAAAAAAUAUUUAUUUAUUAAUUUUUUUUAUCAAUCUAGUUUAUACACCAUAAGUAUUUUAAUUUGGUAAUUGUAAUGUAUUUUGCAUUUAUUUCCAUACGUCCUUAUUAUUAUGUCGAAAAAAAUAUUUAUCUAUUAAUUUGUUACGAAGUAAGUGCAAUGUUGUUUGAAAACAUGAAAUAAAUAGUUCAAGCAAACAUAAAUGUAAAAAGAAAGUGCAAGUGUAAUUUUGUUCCAAAACAUGAAUUGAAUAGUUCAAUCAAACAAAAAUACGUAGAAGUGCUGCUUAAGGUAGCUGGCCCGACCACCUCAGUAUCUCCUCGAAGUAGGUCAUCCGCUGCUCAAGGGCCUCACGUGCUGCUCGUUCAGCCUGAAGUGCUGUAGCCCUAUCCUCGUCAGCCUUCUGCAACCGCUCCUCAAGCAUGGAGAUCCGUGUCUCAUACAGCUGCUGAGACAUCGCGGAAGUGCUUGUGUGUGAGUAGAGCCCCUACUAACCUGGCUCCGACCGGCACUUUCAGUGCUGUAGAAACGUGACCUGUCGGGUUGUACGACCUCCAAGUAGAUCUCAUCCAGCCGGUUCUCUCGCUCAGUCUCAACAACAAUGCGACGAAUCUCCGCCUAAUUUAUACAUCACAAUGCAUAAUUGUUAGAAAAUACAUUUCACUAUGUAUUACUAAUAUUUGAUUAAACUUAAGCACUUACAUCUAGUCUCUCAUCCUUCGCUGACAUAAAAGUUUCAUCCUCCCGCAUGUGGAGGCGGAGGAAGGUGUUAUAGUUCUGUGCAGCUAGGGGAAGUCCAGUCUCCAAACUCUGUUCAUGCAUGUAUAUAAGAUAAAUAAGUUAUUAUUUGCAAUAUUAUAUAUAUAUAUAUAUAUAUAUAUGUGUGUGUGUGUGUGUGUGUGUGUAUAGUACUUAUGAACUUAUUUGAUAAUUACUAACCAGACUCUAUUGCAGGAUACGAGUGGACUGACUGAGACCCUCCCACGUGCCAGUUGAUCCCUGUAUCGGGUCCAUCGGGCUCAGACAUCCGGUUCACAUGUGCUCGUUGGGAAAUGGCCUGAACAUUCUCCUGGUCCCAGUAUGCCUGGAGUCCCGUCCAGAAUUCGGCAGACAUCCAGAAGGGUCUAUCCAUCGGCAGGCCUGCAUCGAUACUAGCUAGCCCUGAGCUUCCUCUUGUAGUCGCUCAUUAUGUCACUGUACAUCUUGCUGGCUUUCGCAAUCUUCCAGAUGCACGCCGUAUCUCCUUAUAUCAUGACUCGCCACAGAAGUUACAGCUGUGCAACUCACUAUCGUCCCCCCAAUACAACAGCUAUAGUGAUCAUAGUGGUCCUAAUUUACUAAGCUAUGCUAGGUCUACCCGGCCCCCCAUUCGUCGAAACAAUACAAUACAUAUUAAGCAAUAAAAAAAUAUAGUAAUUAAAUUAAAAGCAAUCAUUUGUUGAGAGAAGAUCCUUAAUUAAGAAAUAAUCAAUUUAUAUCCCAAAGGGAGAAGAUCCUUAAGAAAUUGAUUAAAUCUAUCCCACAAUAUAUAAUAACAUAUCAUUUCAUUAUAAACCAUACUGGCAUACUUACUUAAUUAAACAAAAUUAUCUAAUAUAAAUAAAUUAAUCAAAUAAAUUCAUACUUAUUCAUACUUUAUAAACUACAAAUUAAUCUAAUUAAUUAAAAUUAAUCAUGCUUCAUAAUUAAUCAAAAUAUAAAUUAAUUAAAAUUAAUCUAAUUAACAUUAAUUAGAUUCUAACAAAAUAAUAGUAAAAAUAAAUUUAAAAUUAAUCAUACUUCAUAAUUAAUCAUAUUAUAAAUUAAUUAAAAUUAAUCUAAUUAACAUUAAUUUUAAUCACUUGUUUUUUUUUAGAGAAAUUUUAAAUUUUCUAAUUAAAAUUAAUUAACAUUAAUUUUAAUCACUUGUAACACUCCAAUUUUCAUUAUUUUUUAUUAAAAUAAGAUUUUAUAAAAGAAAAACGAAAACCUAAACCCUUGAAAGCACAGCGAAGCAGACUAAGGGCCGAGCCUCAUUAAAACCUCAACUUGAGGAAAAAGAGUAUUCGUCUAAAGAAGCGAAGAAAAAAACUAUGAGGGAGCGGAGUGAGACCACCUCAAAGACUCCGGCCUAACCAUCGUCCCUAGAUUGUCUCGGCUACCCAACACAGAAAAGAAAAAAAGAAAAUGCAAGUAAGCAAGAGCAGAAAACAAAAGAAACCAACAAAAAGAGCAACAAAACCAAGUGUUAUCCCAACGAAGCCAGCUCCUAUGAAAAGUGGAGAAAUCGAAGUGAUCAAGCAGCCUAUGACAGCACAUACAUCUCAACCUUAAACAACUCUUGCAGCCACCAGAAGACCAAAGCUCUGAAAAGAGCGAGACAUGGCGUAUCAACGACCAAAACUCGUCGGUCUCAAGAACUCGACGCCAAAAGGUGAAAAUGCCAACAGCGGAGCAACCAAACGAGAACGAGAGCGUACAGUAGUGGUCGGUGGCGGCAGUAGUGGUGGGGCUGAAAUGAGAUAGAGAGAGAGAGAGAGAGAGAGGGUCAUGAGAGGGAGAGAGAGGAGGGGUCAUGAGAGAGACACACACACAAAGGAAGAAGAGAGCUUACCUGGACGGAGGCGUACGACGACGGCGGCGGCGAGGGCUGGAGCUUGAGAGAGGCGUUGAGAGAGAAAAGGUGUUGCUAACGCUGAAAUGUGCUGCUGGCUAGGGCACUGCCCAAUUUGGGCUUAAAUAUUACCGGCGGCGUUUUUACCGCCGCUAAUUACCAACGGCAAAAGCCGCCGGUAAUAUUAAAAAAUAAUAAAAAGAUAACUAAUAUAUAUUAGUGGCGGCCGGCUUUGUUACCGGCGGUAGUGCCGCUGGUGGUCACCGGUGGCGAUUUUACCGCUGGUAUUUCUGUUGAAAUUUUAAAAACACGGGUGGUCGGCUCUUUCGCCGUCGGAAGGCCGCUGGUAAUUACUGGCUGCCGAGCGCCGCCGGUAUUUUCAUUUUUUUUUGUAGUGUAACACUAUUUCUAGUUGUGAAUUCAAGCUUUAAAAUUUGAAUUCGCGGCUAACAUUAAUUCUAGUUCUGAAUUCAAGCUUUAAAACUCGAAUUCACAACUAACACUAGCUAUUCAGUUGUGAAUUCGAGUUUUAAAGCUUGAAUCACAACUAAGAAUAGUCUUGGUUGUUAAUUUGAGUUCACUGGAUAAUUUUUAAGUUUUUUAUAUAACGAGUAAAAUCAUAACUGUGACCAAUUUUUAAGUUUUUUUUUUUAUCUUAAUGGAUAAUUUUUUUUUUAUAAUCAUUUUAAAAUGAUCAUUUUCAAAGUCCACUCUAAUUUUUUUAGUUGUGAAUUUAAGUUUUAAAGCUUGAAUUCCCAACUAAGAAUAGUCUUGGUUGUUAAUUCGAGUACAAUUUAUUGGAGCAUUUUUAAAUUUUUUAUAUGAAGAGUAAAAUGAUAAAUGUGACCAAAUUUUAAAUUUUUUAUUUCAAUGAAUAAUUUUUUUAUGAUUAUUUCAAAAUGAUCAUUUUCAAAGUUCACUCUAAAUUUUUUAUUUAAAAAGUAAAGUACAUGAUACAUUAAGGGAGAAAGUUGGGAAAUAUAUAUCUUUUGUGCAAUAUUUCUCUCAUUAAAAAAAGACAACUAACUCAAAAAAGAAUUUUAAAAAAUACAAAUUUUCUUCUAAUGUGCAAAGAUACCAUAGGUAACUCCUAAUCCUUUGUCCCCAAUGGGACACCAAGCGAUGCGACCUCCUGUGUGAACAGUCGGGUUCAAACCCCACUGCUCCCCCUCCCCAACUCUCCCAAGUACAAAAAAAAAAAAACCCUCCUAAUCCUUUAAUUAAAAAUAAAAAAUAAAAAAGUUUCUUGUUAGAUUCGAAGCAUUGACCAAAUUCAGCAAAAGAUAAAAAAACAAGAAUAAAGUUUGGUUUCGCGUGAUGUCAUAUUCGGUGCUCCUUCCUAAACAAUGAAUGAAAAUUGAAAAAGUUAAUCGGCAACUUAUAUAUAAUACUCUCUCCGUCUCACAAAAAUACGAAUAUUUUUUCGUNUUGGGGCGUCUCACAAAAAUAUGAACAUUUUUUCGUUUCGAGACGUCUCACAAAAAUAUAAAUCUUUUUAUUUUGUACACCAUCAUAAUCCUUUUACUUUGUAUCUCUAUUUUUAAUUAAAUGUAAUUUUUUUCACUAGCAAUACAUUUUUAUCUAACAUUGCUUAAAAUGCAUGCCACUUACAAAUAUUCAUAUUUUUAUGAGAUGGAGAGAGUAAUAAUAAUUACAGUGAUGCGGUGAUUGAUCAUUGGAAUCUCCACUAACCACAUUUUAAAUUUUAGACAAGAUGAUGCUCAAAAUUAAGUUGUGAUUUUUCAAGUUCCACACGAGAGGGUGCUCAAAAGUCAGAUAUGGCAUGCCAAGCUCCAAACGAGACUAUUCUCAUAACUUAAUUAUACAUAAUGAUAUAAAAUAAUUCCCGUCGAAUUUCGAUGGGUUAGAUGCUAGUUUAACUUUAAUUCCUAACAAUUAGACUCCGCACGUGUUGAUGGUUAAGUUUAUAAUCAGUAAUUAAUAAGCAGUCAAAUGGAUAAAUACUAUCAAAUUUCAUGACCACAAAUACAUGAGAUUAUUGAAAAUGAACAAUUCAUUGAUUGGUGGUAUAAAUUUAACUACAAAUCACAUGGUAAAAUGAAUUGAAUGAGGAUUGAACAGUUGGAAAUAAAAAGGGUGACUGCAUGCGUUGCGAUUUGCAUGCACACUAGCUAAUCUUUACGAAACGAAAAGAGAGAGAAAGAUUUAGUGGAAUCUCAGUUGAUGGCGCUGCAAACUCUUCUAAUGAUUCCAUCCUGUCCAAGGGUUGGCUGAAUCUCCGACAUCUUGAUCAUCGCAGCCGCAAAGUCGGCGGCGAACGUCCUCGGAUUUCCGCUGUACUGAGACACGAUGGUGGCCGUGGAUCCGCUGAAGAGGACUUGAUCCGAUUGCAGCAGCCCCUUCCUCUCCACCAAAUUCCUAAAGUAGUUGUUAUCGAACGAGUUGGGCGUCACCACAUCCAGCGGCGCCAAGUUGCCAUCGCCGCCGCUUUGGGGACAGCCCCGCCUUCUGGUGCUCGCGAAGCCAGCAUCUAUGUCACUACCGUUGCUGUAUAUCCUUCCACGGAACAAGAAGCAUUGCGAUUGACCUAAUGUGUGAGCUCCUGCAUAUAUAUGUACAUAAUAUUCCAUCAUUAAUUUUAAUUCACCUAACCAUUCUUUAUUAUUACAUACACAAUAUAAGAAAAGUUUGUUUUACCAGACAGCGCAACCAUGUCUCGUGCGGUGAGGCCCUUCUUGUCGAAAGCGUCAAUAAGAACGUCGAGGCCGGCAAACGGGCUCGGGAGAUCGGUGUUGGCGGCGCCGCGGUUAGCAGUCGUAGAAUCCCUUCUUCCUAGUCUCACACUCCAUGACGGGCCACCAACCUACAAUUCAUAUACUUUAAUUAAGAAACAUGCAAAGCAUUAAUUACAUAUGUUUUGGUAAUUAACGAUGCUUGUUUGUAUACUUACAGCAACAGAGGCGUCGCGUGCGGCUAAGGUGAGUACGUCGGCACAGGAGACGACGCCGGGGCAGGCGCGCUCCACCUCGCGCUUAGCAGCCUCAAUAACCUCGUAUCCUCUAACUGAAUUAUCGUUGGGCGCCGCCGUCUUCUCGCUCUGAAUAGUAGCGGUCUCGUCGAGCAGGAUGGAGGCGUCGCAGCCCUGAACGAAGCAGUCGUGGAAGUGGAGGCGGAUGAGGGACGCCGCCAUGCGCCGCUCGGCGGAAAUAGCGCGGCGGAUGGAGUUGCGGAUGAUGGUUGG